rnacentral:rRNA from 1 species
GUGGGGAAUCUUCCACAAUGGACGAAAGUCUGAUGGAGCAACGCCGCGUGAGUGAAGAAGGGUUUCGGCUCGUAAAGCUCUGUUGUCGGGGACGAAUGUGCAGUAUUUGAAUAAAGUAGUGUAAUGACGGUACCUGACGAGGAAGCCACGGCUAACUACGUGCCAGCAGCCGCGGUAAUACGUAGGUGGCAAGCGUUGUCCGGAAUUAUUGGGCGUAAAGGGAGCGCAGGCGGGAAGGUAAGUCGGUCUUAAAAGUGCGGGGCUCAACCCCGUGAUGGGAUCGAAACUAUCUUUCUUGAGUGCAGGAGAGGAAAGUGGAAUUCCUAGUGUAGCGGUGAAAUGCGUAGAUAUUAGGAGGAACACCAGUGGCGAAGGCGACUUUCUGGACUGUAACUGACGCUGAGGCUCGAAAGCCAGGGGAGCGAACGGGAUUAGAUACCCUGGUAGUCC